GGCCGACUAGCUCAGUUGGUUAGAGCGUCGUGCUAAUACCGCUUACGUAAUACGCGAAGGUCUUGGGUUCGACCCCCACGUUGGCCA